rnacentral:rRNA from 1 species
AGAGUUUGAUCCUGGCUCAGGACGAACGCUGGCGGCGUGCUUAACACAUGCAAGUCGAACGGAGGUUACUUUGAAACGCAAGUCGAUAAAUAACCUUAGUGGCGGACGGGUGAGUAACGCGUGGAUAACCUGCCUGACUGACCGGGACAACACUUGGAAACGGGUGCUAAUACCGGAUACGCUCAUAAAGACACAAGUCUUAAUGAGGAAAGGGGAAACCCGCAGACAGAUGGGUCCGCGUCCCAUUAGCUAGUUGGAGGUGUAAUGGACCCCCAAGGCGACGAUGGGUAGCCGGCCUGAGAGGGUGAACGGCCACACUGGAACUGAGACACGGUCCAGACUCCUACGGGAGGCAGCAGUGGGGAAUAUUGCACAAUGGGCGCAAGCCUGAUGCAGCGACGCCGCGUGAGGGAUGAAGGCCUUCGGGUUGUAAACCUCUUUCAGCAGGGAAGAAGCGCAAGUGACGGUACCUGCAGAAGAAGCGCCGGCUAACUACGUGCCAGCAGCCGCGGUAAUACGUAGGGCGCGAGCGUUGUCCGGAAUUAUUGGGCGUAAAGGGCUUGUAGGCGGUUUGUCGCGUCUGCCGUGAAAUUCCCUGGCUUAACUGGGGGCGUGCGGUGGGUACGGGCAGGCUUGAGUGCGGUAGGGGAGACUGGAAUUCCUGGUGUAGCGGUGGAAUGCGCAGAUAUCAGGAGGAACACCGAUGGCGAAGGCAGAUCUCUGGGCCGUUACUGACGCUGAGGAGCGAAAGCAUGGGGAGCGAACAGGAUUAGAUACCCUGGUAGUCCAUGCCGUAAACGUUGGGCACUAGGUGUGGGGGACAUUCCACGUUUUCCGCGCCGUAGCAAACGCAUUAAGUGCCCCGCCUGGGGAGUACGGCCGCAAGGCUAAAACUCAAAGGAAUUGACGGGGGCCCGCACAAGCGGCGGAGCAUGCGGAUUAAUUCGAUGCAACGCGAAGAACCUUACCAAGGCUUGACAUAUACCGGACGCGGCGAGAGAUUGUCUUUCCCUUGUGGUCGGUAUACAGGUGGUGCAUGGUUGUCGUCAGCUCGUGUCGUGAGAUGUUGGGUUAAGUCCCGCAACGAGCGCAACCCUUGCCCUAUGUUGCCAGCACGUUGUGGUGGGGACUCGUGGGGGACUGCCGGGGUUAACUCGGAGGAAGGUGGGGAUGACGUCAAAUCAUCAUGCCCCUUAUGUCUUGGGCUUCACGCAUGCUACAAUGGCCGGUACAAAGGGCUGCGAUACCGCGAGGUGGAGCGAAUCCCAAAAAGCCGGUCUCAGUUCGGAUUGGGGUCUGCAACUCGACCCCAUGAAGUCGGAGUCGCUAGUAAUCGCAGAUCAGCAACGCUGCGGUGAAUACGUUCCCGGGCCUUGUACACACCGCCCGUCACGUCACGAAAG